UACGAAGGGGGCUAGCGUUGCUCGGAAUCACUGGGCGUAAAGGGUGCGUAGGCGGGUCUUUAAGUCAGGGGUGAAAUCCUGGAGCUCAACUCCAGAACUGCCUUUGAUACUGAGGAUCUUGAGUUCGGGAGAGGUGAGUGGAACUGCGAGUGUAGAGGUGAAAUUCGUAGAUAUCGCAAGAACACCAGUGGCGAAGGCGGCUCACUGGCCCGAUACUGACGCUGAGGCACGAAAGCGUGGGGA
rnacentral:rRNA from 1 species